GGUCUCAGAAAUCAUCUCAACACAGCCCUUCAGGAAGCUGACAGGCAAGGCUGGGAGCUGGCACGAAGGCAGGCACCCUGCACCCUACCCAUCCAUCACCUCUUGACUCACACAGCAGGCUGAGUGGUGGACAGAAGAGGUGUGUCAUCACUAUCACUUUGGAGGCAUACACUGUGCUGUCAGAGAUUCCCAGAACUUAGAGGAAUGAUGAUUGUUUUGGGUCUUCCCAGAGCUGGAGAAGCCACCCGCACAUCACCUCAGACGUGAGCUUAUUGACUGACAUGUUCAUCAGAGAUCCCUAGAUCCACGUGUCACUUAGAAGGAAGGCACAGGAAAUGAGCUCCCAUUAUCAAGAAAGGACUCAAGAAACCUCAAGCGUGUGUGAAACCUUCCUGAUGCCUGGUGUUAAUCUCGACUGGCACUGUGCUCUUGGGUUCGGAGACAGAACUCCAGUGACCUGUGGGCCACACCUGCCCCUGCAGGAACAGUCACUGCAAAGCCCCACCCACAUGUCUGGGGCCUGACCUGAAGCUGCCUUUGUCCCUAAGUGGGGCCUCCUGGGAGUGGCCUGCACAGACAGCAGAUCUCCACUUAACUCUGGAUAAUGCAUCACCCUUAUCUUUCCGCUGCUGGUUCUAAGAGCCGGUCUUGUCGUGGCUUCAUUGAUUAUCGAUCCAAUUCCUUGGCAGAGAGGCACGGCCUUGCGCUCCUCACCAUAAGCACUAGCUGUGCGCUUUACGGCGGAGCUGUGCUAUGGGGACGCUACCCAUUCUGGAAGUGGGGGCUUGGUGGCACUAAGGAGCUUACCUGGUGCACUGAGGAGCUUACCUGGUGGACUAAGGAGCUUACCUGGCGCACUGAGGUGCU